rnacentral:rRNA from 1 species
UACAGAGGUCUCAAGCGUUGUUCGGAUUCAUUGGGCGUAAAGGGUGCGUAGGCAGCGCGGUAAGUCGGGUGUGAAAUCUUGGAGCUUAACUCCGAAACUGCAUUCGAUACUGCCGUGCUUGAGGACUGGAGAGGAGACUGGAAUUCCUGGUGUAGCGGUGAAAUGCGCAGAUAUCAAGAGGAACACCGGUGGCGAAGGCGGGUCUCUGGGCCGAAAUUGACGCUGAGGAGCGAAAGCGUGGGGAGCAAACAGG